rnacentral:rRNA from 1 species
AUUGAACGCUAGCGGGAUGCCUUACACAUGCAAGUCGAACGGAGUGGCUAACGGGUGAGUAAUGUAUCGGAACGUGCCCAGUAGCGGGGGAUAACUCCGCGAAAGCUUAGCUACUACCACAUACUUUUCGCGCGGCCGCUCUCGGAUUAGCUAGUUGGUGGGGUAACGGUGCACAAAGGCGACGAGCCGUAGCUGGUUUGAGAGGCCGAACAGCCACACUGGGACUGAGACACGGCCCAGACUCCUACGGGAGGCAGCAGUGGGGAAUGUUGGACAAUGGGGGAAACCCUGAUCCAGCCAUCCAGCGUGUGCGAUGAAGGCCUUCGGGUUGUAAAGCACUUUUGGCAGGAAAGCGGUACCUGCAGAAUAAGCACCGGCUAACUACGGGCCAGCAGCCGCGGUAAUAC